rnacentral:lncRNA from 1 species
AAAACAAUCAAUGAAAAAUAACUCCUUACAAAAUAUCAUAGCAGUUUUAGCUAAAAAAUCUGAAUACUGAUUGUGCACUCGUGGUACAUGGACGAUUCUGAAGUCCGGGAAACAAAGAUAAAACAAUAGACAGAGGACCCAAAUUAAAUAAAAGAAUAUAUGUCUAACUAGAAUAGACGUUCGUAGUGGGAUAGGCACAAAAGCAGGUCCCAAUUCAUUAACCAGAUAUAAGACUAUAUACAAUAGAUUCAACACACAACGCCCUCCACAUCAUCUUCUCUUUCUUCCACAUCAGUUUCUCUCUCUUCCAACUAAUAAUUUAACACA